NNNNNNNNNNNNNNNNNNNNNNACAGCAGUAUGGAAGUGUUUCCUGAGUGGAACGUAUUGAACUCAGGAUCUGAUGGACAUGAUGAUGAGGCUGUAAAGUAGCGAGAGUACCAAGAUGAAUCCAUGAAACUGGCUCACAAGAACAAGAUUACUGCUUCUUAUUCUUACUAAUAUGAGUGAUCUGUAUUAUAUGAUCCUACUUUAGAACAUAGUUUUGCUUUGUUUAACAUAAAAUGAACACUUUGCUAUUACAUUUUUUAUCUUAAUUAGGGACAAACAACAGUUUGGCAGCUUUUUUUCUUGAAGACUGAUCAUUUACCAUGUCAUCAUGGAGAAAAUGAGUUCAUAUCCUUUUCUUCUUGUACUUUCUUUCAUUCCCAUCUACACCUCCGUGUUGACAUUUGUGUGGCUUUCUUUUGAAAGAAAAAAAAAGAGUCAUUGCAUCAUGAUAAUUUAU
ensembl:lincRNA Gm13434 predicted gene 13434